rnacentral:rRNA from 1 species
GACGAACGCUGGCGGCGUGCUUAACACAUGCAAGUCGAACGAAGAGCGAUGGAAGCUUGCUUCUAUCAAUCUUAGUGGCGAACGGGUGAGUAACGCGUAAUCAACCUGCCCUUCAGAGGGGGACAACAGUUGGAAACGACUGCUAAUACCGCAUACGAUCUAAUCUCGGCAUCGAGGAUAGAUGAAAGGUGGCCUCUACAUGUAAGCUAUCACUGAAGGAGGGGAUUGCGUCUGAUUAGCUAGUUGGAGGGGUAACGGCCCACCAAGGCGAUGAUCAGUAGCCGGUCUGAGAGGAUGAACGGCCACAUUGGGACUGAGACACGGCCCAGACUCCUACGGGAGGCAGCAGUGGGGAAUCUUCCGCAAUGGACGAAAGUCUGACGGAGCAACGCCGCGUGAGUGAUGACGGCCUUCGGGUUGUAAAGCUCUGUUAAUCGGGACGAAAGGCCUUCCUGCGAA